UUUCUAUGGAGAGUUUGAUCCUGGCUCAGGACGAACGCUGGCGGCGUGCCUAAUACAUGCAAGUCGAGCGGAGUUUUGAAAAGCUUGCUUUUCAAAACUUAGCGGCGGACGGGUGAGUAACACGUGGGCAACCUGCCCUUGAGACGGGGAUAACUCCGGGAAACCGGAGCUAAUACCGGAUAACACAUAUCUUCGCAUGAGGAUAUGUUAGAAGGUGGCUUUUA
rnacentral:rRNA from 1 species